rnacentral:misc_RNA from 1 species
GAUGAAGAACGUAGCGAAAUGCGAUAAGUAAUGUGAAUUGCAGAAUUCAGUGAAUCAUCGAAUCUUUGAACGCACCUUGCGCUCCUUGGUAUUCCGAGGAGCAUGCCUGUUUGAGUGUCAUUAAAUUCUCAAUCCUCUCUGGGUUUUUUCUCAGUUAGGAUUGGAUAAUGGGGGCUUUGCUGGCUUGAAUAAGGUCAGCUCUCCUAAAAUAUAUUAGCAAGACUCUUGUUGCAGCCUUCUAUUAUGGUGUGAUAAUUAUCUACAUCAUAGAUUGCAUGCAGUAAAAAAAAUGUCAGGCUUCUAACAGUCCAUUGACUUGGACAAACUAAUUGACAAAUUUGACCUCAAAUCAGGUAGGACUACCCGCUGAACUUAAGCAUAUCAAUAAGCGGAGGA